GGGGGCGAGGGGGGUGAGGGGGAGCCGAAGGAUAUAAUAAUGGGUUAAGUUCAGAUGACCAUUUGGGAUUUUGGCGGUUUCCCACUUAACCACCUGUAGUCAGUAAAACUACAUUUAAACCUCCGACCUUUUGAGUAAAAGUGAAAACGUCACAUUUUCCAUCCAACUUAACUGUGCGUGUACGCCAGACGCUAAAAACCCGUGAAAAGAGACUGUAAAUGUCAAAAAAGAUUGAUAAAUGUCUUAAAUACCCCCUUCUUCUUCCAACGGAUGAAAUUAAUUUCUGAACUCCUCCUCCAUUAUUUAUGGAAACAUUAAACACCCAAACUGAAAAGAAGAGAGAAAUACACAGAAAUCUCUCAUUAGAACAUAUAUCCUCCUCCAAUUCAAAUCUUUAAAGUGUUUUCAGAUAUUGAACACAGAUUUACAUUUGUGUUUUCAUAUUUAGGAGAAUAUAUAUCCUUUUUUCUGCAAAAGGAAAUUCUUAGUGGGCUCUGGAAUUUCUAAAGUCUUGGUCUGAGAAUCCAAUGAUAACUUUUGUAGCAAAUCUACAGCUUCUAUAGCAGAAAAGUAAAGGUAUACAUAGAUAACCAAAAAUUUCAAUGUUCCCAAUCCAAUCCAAUCCAAUCAGAGAAACAUAAAAGAGAAGUAGAACAAGCGAAUAUGAAAUUAAUUAAAAUUGUACUCUAACAAAUAAUGUAAAUCUUGAGACAAAAAAAAUCAUAUCUCAGACAGCUAUACAAGAUUAUGCUAUUCAAAAUUCUACUGAACACAUAAACAAUAGUCAAAUCCGACUUCAGACCAAGAUUAAUUCACCCAAAUCAACAAACAAAUUAACAAUUAAACUAAAAGAAAUUAACAAUUAAAAUAGAAAAGAGACCCUCUCAAAUAGUCUCAAAAAAAAUUCACACAUGAAUAUACAGAUCUCUACGUAUGCCCAGAAAAUAUGAUGUGUACACACAAAAUGAUAUACCCGAUUCUUGUUCUUCUAGCUCCUGAGAGGGUUGAGAUCUGCAAUCGAAGGGAAGGGGAGGGGAGGGGAGGGGAGGGAGGGGAGAGACAGAAGAACAUACCCGAUUUUUGUUUCAAACCAUCAUCAUCUUCUUCACAAUCAAUUAUGGGUUAAUUAGUUACUAACCCACCAUCCAUCUUCUUCCUUAAAUGCACCAGAUCUGAAGUUUUUGUUUUUCAAAAAAUAUUUUAAAAAUCAAACCCAACAAACUAGUGUAGAUAAGAGAGAGAAAAGGAGAAGUGCAGAUCUUAUAGCUCUUGAAUUCUCGUAAUGGGUGAACUUAUCCAUCUUUUUAGCUUCAAAAAUGUAAAAGAAAGAAGAAUUGGAUAGUAGCGACACAGUGUAAGAUUACAUAGAUGGAGGCAGUGGAAAUCCAUAUCCCAACUCAUCCUCCUCGCUAUAGAUCUUAGCACGUGGAGAUGAGAGAGAAAGGUCGGUUUUUUAUUGAGAAGAAAAAUGGAAGCUUUUUAUUAUCUGCUCUCUUGCAUGUAAACAUGGAGGGUAAUUAAGUCAUUAGCCAACUCAAAUAACGGAGUGAAGACGGAAAACACGUUUUCAUUUUAAUUCAAAAGGUCGGGUGUUUAAA
rnacentral:lncRNA from 1 species